ACAAGCGGUGGAGUAUGUGGUUUAAUUCGAUGCAACGCGAAGAACCUUACUGGUCUUGACAUCCCGGAGACCCUUAGGAACUAGGGGUGCUUCCAUCUGGAAGAAUCUGGAGACAGGUGCUGCAUGGCUGUCGUCAGCUCGUGUCGUGAGAUGUUGGGUUAAGUCCCGCAACGAGCGCAACCCUUGCCUUUAGUUGCCAGCAGUUCGGCUGGGCACUCUAAAGGGACUGCCGGUGUUAAACCGGAGGAAGGUGGGGAUGACGUCAAGUCCUCAUGGCCUUUAUGACCAGGGCUACACACGUACUACAAUGGCCGAUACAAAGGGCAGCGACACUGCGAGGUGAAGCCAAUCCCGUAAAAUCGGUCUCAGUCCGGAUUGGAGUCUGCAACUCGACUCCAUGAAGUUGGAAUCGCUAGUAAUCGUGGAUCAGCAUGCCACGGUGAAUACGUUCCCGGGCCUU
rnacentral:rRNA from 1 species